AGGGUUCGAUUCUGGCUCAGGAUGAACGCUAGCUACAGGCUUAACACAUGCAAGUCGAGGGGCAGCAUGAUCGAAGCUUGCUUUGAUUGAUGGCGACCGGCGCACGGGUGAGUAACGCGUAUCCAACCUUCCCUGUAGUAGAGAAUAGCCCGGCGAAAGUCGGAUUAAUACUCUAUGUUGUAUUUCGAAGACAUCUGAAGAAUACCAAAGGUUUACCGCUAUAGGAUGGGGAUGCGUCUGAUUAGGUUGUUGGCGGGGUAACGGCCCACCAAGCCCACGAUCAGUAGGGGUUCUGAGAGGAAGGUCCCCCACAUUGGAACUGAGACACGGUCCAAACUCCUACGGGAGGCAGCAGUGAGGAAUAUUGGUCAAUGGACGGAAGUCUGAACCAGCCAAGUAGCCGUGCAGGAUGACGGCCCUAUGGGUUGUAAACUGCUUUUAUAUAGGGAUAAAGUCGGGGACGUGUCCCCGUUUGUAGGUACUAUAUGAAUAAGGACCGGCUAAUUCCGUGCCAGCCGCUGC
rnacentral:rRNA from 1 species